GUUGAUGAGUUAGAAUUAGUCAUUUCCCGAAAGAACAGUAUCACACUGUUCUAACUUGCGGCCCUCUGGUUACUAAGGAGAGAGAACAUCUUUUUGGUGGCUACUAGAACAUUCAAACUUAAACACGCGGCCUGCAUCGUAUUUUUCACGGGCAACUCUGGUCCAUGGAAUUUGCCCUCAGCACAUUCUCCAUCUGGGGCCACUGAACCUCGGGAUUUCUUAUGAUCUGCUAGAAUAAUCCAUGCCAGAAGUACCUUCAAGUGGAGUGACUGACACUCGUGUCAAAACGUGGCCUCUAAAGGAUGUUCUGAUAUCCUUGCUGCCAUCAGGCCCAGAUUGAGAGGAUUUUCUGGCCACUCUGUAUAUAGAGUUUAUUUUUUAUUCAUAAAUUACCUAAGUGUGUGUCUCUACUGAAAAUGCUAUAAAAUAAACUCUUACAAAGCUGAGAUAAAUACUCAACAUAACUGGACAAGUCA